rnacentral:rRNA from 1 species
GGUUGCGAUCAUACCAGCACUAAUGCACCGGAUCCCAUCAGAACUCCGCAGUUAAGCGUGCUUGGGCGAGAGUAGUACUCAGGAUGGGUGACCCCCUGGGGAAGUCCUCGUGUUGCAACCC